AGGUGCGAUCAUACCAGCACUAAUGCACCGGAUCCCAUCAGAACUCCGCAGUUAAGCGUGCUUGGGCGAGAGUAGUACUAGGAUGGGUGACCUCCUGGGAAGUCCUCGUGUUGCACCAC
rfam:Lupinus angustifolius cultivar Tanjil chromosome LG19, whole genome shotgun sequence.